GAUGAAGAACGCAGCGAAAUGCGAUACGUAAUGUGAAUUGCAGAAUUCAGUGAAUCAUCGAAUCUUUGAACGCAUAUUGCGCUCUCUGGUACUCCGGAGAGCAUGCUUGUUUGAGUAUCAGUAAACACCUCAACUCCCUUUUCUUUUUUGAAAUUGGAGCUGGACUUGAGUGAUCCCAACGCUUUCUUCCAAGAAAGUGGCGGGUUGCUUGAAAUGCAGGUGCAGCUGAACUUUUCUCUGAGCUAUAAGCAUAUCUAUUUAGUCUGCCUAAAAAACAGAUUAUUACCUUUGCUGCAGCUAACAUAAAGGAGACUAGUUCUUGUGCUGACUGAUGCAGGAUUCACAGAGACAGCUUCGGCUGACUUUGUAAACUCGAUCUCAAAUCAAGUAAGACUACCCGCUGAACUUAAGCAUAUCAAUAAGCGGAGGA
rnacentral:misc_RNA from 1 species